GACGAACGCUGGCGGCGUGCUUAACACAUGCAAGUCGAACGAUGAAGCCGGAGCUUGCUCUGGUGGAUUAGUGGCGAACGGGUGAGUAACACGUGAGUAACCUGCCCUUGACUCUGGGAUAAGCGUUGGAAACGACGUCUAAUACCGGAUACGAGCUAGGACCGCAUGGUCACUAGCUGGAAAGAACUUCGGUCAGGGAUGGACUCGCGGCCUGUCAGCUAGUUGGUGAGGUAACGGCUCACCAAGGCGACGACGGGUAGCCGGCCUGAGAGGGUGACCGGCCACACUGGGACUGAGACACGGCCCAGACUCCUACGGGAGGCAGCAGUGGGGAAUAUUGCACAAUGGGCGCAAGCCUGAUGCAGCAACGCCGCGUGAGGGACGACGGCCUUCGGGUUGUAAACCUCUUUUAGCAGGGAAGAAGCGCAAGUGACGGUACCUGCAGAAAAAGCACCGGCUAACUACGUGCCAGCAGCCGCGGUAAUAC
rnacentral:rRNA from 1 species